AACGAACGCUGGCGGCAGGCUUAACACAUGCAAGUCGAACGCCCCGCAAGGGGAGUGGCAGACGGGUGAGUAACGCGUGGGAAUCUACCCAGUUCUACGGAACAACUGAGGGAAACUUCAGCUAAUACCGUAUACGCCCUACGGGGGAAAGAUUUAUCGGAAUUGGAUGAGCCCGCGUUGGAUUAGCUAGUUGGUGAGGUAACGGCUCACCAAGGCGACGAUCCAUAGCUGGUCUGAGAGGAUGAUCAGCCACACUGGGACUGAGACACGGCCCAGACUCCUACGGGAGGCAGCAGUGGGGAAUAUUGGACAAUGGGCGCAAGCCUGAUCCAGCCAUGCCGCGUGAGUGAUGAAGGCCUUAGGGUUGUAAAGCUCUUUCAGUGGGGACGAUAAUGUCGGUACCCGGAGAAGAAGCCCCGGCUAACUUCGUGCCAGCCGCCGCGGUAACAC
rnacentral:rRNA from 1 species